rnacentral:rRNA from 1 species
GAUCCUGGCUCAGGAUGAACGCUAGCGGGAGGCUUAAUACAUGCAAGUCGAGCGGGAUUGGUAGCAAUACCAUGAGAGCGGCGCACGGGUGAGUAACGCGUACACGACCUACCUCUGACAGGGGGAUAGCCCUGGGAAACUGGGAUUAAUACCGCAUAUUAUUCUGAUUAAUAAAGGAUUGGAAUGAAAGUUCAGGCGGUCAGAGAUGGGUGUGCGUCUGAUUAGCUAGUUGGUAGGGUAACGGCCUACCAAGGCGAUGAUCAGUAGGGGGCGUGAGAGCGUGAUCCCCCACACGGGUACUGAGACACGGACCCGACUCCUACGGGAGGCAGCAGUAAGGAAUAUUGGACAAUGGCCGAAAGGCUGAUCCAGCCAUCCAGCGUGCAGGAAGAAGGCCCUAUGGGUUGUAAACUGCUUUUAUCAGGGAAUAAACCUCUGGAUUUACUCCGGAGCUGAAGGUACCUGAAGAAUAAGCACCGGCUAACUCCGUGCCAGCAGCCGCGGUAAUACGGAGGGUGCGAGCGUUAUCCGGAAUUACUGGGUUUAAAGGGUGCGUAGGCGGAUGAUUAAGUCUAAGGUGAAAGUUUGUCGCUUAACGAUAAAAUUGCCUUGGAUACUGGUUAUCUUGAAUAAGGAUGAGGAUGGCGGAAUGUGGCAUGUAGCGGUGAAAUGCAUAGAUAUGCCAUAGAACACCAAUUGCGAAGGCAGCUAUCUGGUCUUUUAUUGACGCUGAGGCACGAAAGCGUGGGGAUCGAACAGGAUUAGAUACCCUGGUAGUCCACGCCCUAAACGAUGCUAACUCGAUG